CCUACGGGCGGCAGCAGUGGGGAAUAUUGGACAAUGGGGGCAACCCUGAUCCAUCCAUGCCGCGUGUGUGAAGAAGGCCCUCGGGUUGUAAAGCACUUUCAGUGAGGAAGAACGCCUGGUGGUUAAUACCCAUCAGGAAAGACAUCACUCACAGAAGAAGCACCGGCUAACUCCGUGCCAGCAGCCGCGGUAAUACGGAGGGUGCGAGCGUUAAUCGGAAUUACUGGGCGUAAAGCGCGCGUAGGUGGCUUGAUAAGCCGGUUGUGAAAGCCCCGGGCUCAACCUGGGAACGGCAUCCGGAACUGUCAAGCUAGAGUGCAGGAGAGGAAGGUAGAAUUCCCGGUGUAGCGGUGAAAUGCGUAGAGAUCGGGAGGAAUACCAGUGGCGAAGGCGGCCUUCUGGACUGACACUGACACUGAGGUGCGAAAGCGUGGGUAGCAAACAGGAUUAGAUACCCUUGUAGUC
rnacentral:rRNA from 1 species